UCCCUGGUGGCUCAGACGGUAAAGCGUCUGCCUACAGUGCGGGAGAUCCGGGUUCGAUUCCUGGUUUGGGAA
rnacentral:tRNA from 1 species